rnacentral:lncRNA from 1 species
AGUGUAUUCUAGAACACCUAUUCUGUUCUAUAAUGUAUUCUAGAACACCUCUUCUGAUCUAUAAUGUAUUCUAGAACACCUCUUCUGUUCUAUAAUGUAUUCUAGAACACCUCUUCUGUUCUAUAAUGUAUUCUAGAACACCUCUUCUGUUCUAUAGUGUAUUCUAUAUCACCUCUUCUGUUCUAUGACGUAAUCUAGAACACCUCUUCUGUUCUAUAAUGUAUUCUAGAACACCUCUUCUGUUCUAUAACGUAUUCUAGAACACCUCUUCUGUUCUAUAACGUAUUCUAGAACACCUCUUCCGUUCUGUAACCUAUUCUUAAAUACAUUGCUUCAUUCUAAGUAGUAUGUCACUGGACAGAAGUAGAGCAACAGCUGGGUUUUUACAUACCAACAGGUGUUUAUACUAGACACUAGUCCUCCACCAGAAACAUGACAUUGAGACUGUUCCAGAGUGCGAAUUACAAGGGGGGGGGGCCUAAAUCCAACUAUGGGGGAGGAGAGGGUCUCUAAAUAAUGCUAAUAGUAAUUUCCAUGUAAAAGGGCCCACGAGCACCAAGAGGGCCCACGAGCACCAAUAGGGCCCACGAGCACCAAUAGGGCCCACGAGCACCAACAGGGCCAACAGGGCCCACGAGCACCAACAGGGCCCAUCAGCACCAACAGGGCCCAUGACCACCAACAGGGCCAACAGGGCCCACGAGCACCAACAGGGCCAACAGGGCCCACGAGCACCAACAGGGCCAACAGGGCCUACGAGCACCAACAGGGCCAACAGGGCCUACGAGCACCAACAGGGCCCACGAGCACCAACAGGGCCCACGAGCACCAACAGGGCCAACAGGGCCCACGAGCACCAACAGGGCCUAUCAGCACCAACAGGGCCCAUGACCACCAACAGGGCCAACAGGGCCCACGAGCACCAACAGGGCCAACAGGGCUCACGAGCACCAACAGGGCCAACAGGGCCUACGAGCACCAACAGGGCCAACAGGGCCUACGAGCACCAACAGGGCCCACGAGCACCAACAGGGCCCAUCAGCACCAACAGGGCCCAUGAGCACCAACAGGGCCAACAGGGCCUAUGAGCACCAACAGGGCCCAUCAGCACCAACAGGGCCCAUGAGCACCAACAGGGCCAUCAGGGCCCACGAGCACCAACAGGGCCCAUCAGCACCAACAGGGCCCAUCAGCACCAACAGGGCCCACGAGCACCAACAGGGCAACAGGGCUUACGAGCACCAACAGGGCCAACAGGGCCCACGAGCAUUAACAGGGCCUAUGAGCACCAACAGGGCCCACGAGCACCAACAGGGCCCACGAGCACCAACAGGGCCCAUCAGCACCAACAGGGCCCAUCAGCACCAACAGGGCCAACAGGGCCCAUGAGCACCAACAGGGCCCAUCAGCACCAACAGGGCCCAUGAGCACCAACAGGGCCAACAGGGCCCAUGAGCACCAACAGGGCCCAUCAGCACCAACAGGGCCAACAGGGCCUACGAGCACCAACAGGGCCAACAGGGCCUACGAGUACCAACAGGGCCCAUCAGCACCAACAGGCCCAUCAGCACCAACAGGGUCAACAGGGCCCAUCAGCACCAACAGGCCCAUCAGCACCAAUAGGGCCAACAGGGCCUACGAGUACCAACAGGGCCCAUGAGCACCAACAGGGCCCAUCAGCACCAACAGGGCCAACAGGGCCCAUCAGCACAAAUAGGGCCAACAGGGCCCACGAGCACCAACAGGGCCAACAGGAUCCAUCAGCACCAUCAGGGCCCACGAGCACCAACAGGGCCCACGAGCACCAACAGGGCCCAUCAGCACAAAUAGAGCCAACAGGGUCCAUCAGCACAAAUAGGGCCAACAGGGCCCACGAGCACCAAAAGGGUCCAUGAGCACUAACACAGCAGCCGUGUCAAAUUGGAGGUCAAAUGAAAGCUAAGAGCCGAGCCCCCCCCCCCCAUCCUAUAAAUGAUGAAUAAACAAAGACUUUGAUUUCUGGUCAAACAGAUGGAAACGGGGUCUUAGAAAACAUCUCUCAGAAACACCCUUACAAGGUGUUAUAAAUACAGCAAUCAAUCCAAUGUAUUUAUAAAGCCAUCAGCUGAUAUCACAAAGUGCUGUACAGAAACCCAGCCUAAAACCCCCAAACAGCAAGUAAUGCAGAUGUAGAAGCACGGUGGCUAGGAAAAAAACUCCCUAGAAAGGCCCGAGAACCUAGGAAGAAACCUAGAGAGGAACCAGGCUAUGAGGGGUGGCCAGUCCUCUUCUGGCUGUGCCAGGUGUAGAUUAUAACAGAACAUGGCCAAGAUGUUCAAACGUUCAUAAAUGACCAGCAGGGUCAAAUAAUAAUAAUCACAGUAGCUGUAGAGGGUGCAACAGGUCAGCACCUCAGGAGUAAAUGUCAGUUGGCUUUUCAUAACCGAUCAUUCAGAGUUAGAGAGAGCAGGUGCUGUAGAGAAAGAGAGGUAGAGACGGCAGGUGCGGUAGAGCGAGAGAGAGGUAGAGACAGCAGGUGCGGUAGAGAGAGAGAGGGGUAGAGACAGCAGGUGCGGUAGAGAGAGAGAGGUAGAGACAGCAGGUGCGGUAGAGAGAGAGGGGUAGAGACAGCAGGUGCGGUAGAGAGAUAGAGGGGUAGAGACAGCAGGUGCGGUAGAGAGAGAGAGGGGUAGAGACAGCAGGUGCGGUAGAGAGAGAGAGGUAGAGACAGCAGGUGCGGUAGAGAGAGAGAGAGGUAGAGACAGCCGGUGCGGUAGAGAGAGAGAGGGGUAGAGACAGCAGGUGCAGUAGAGAGAGAGGGGUGGAGACAGCAGGUGCGGUAGAGAGAGAGAGGGGUAGAGACAGCAGGUGCAGUAGAGAGAGAGAGGUAGAGACAGCAGGUGCGGUAGAGAGAGAGAGGUAGAGACAGCAGGUGCGGUAGAGAGAGAGAGAGGUAGAGACAGCAGGUGCGGUAGAGAGAGAGAGAGGUAGAGACAGCAGGUGCGGUAGAGAGAGAGAGAGGUAGAGACAGCAGGUGCGGUAGAGAGAGAGAGGUAGAGACAGCAGGUGCGGUAGAGAGAGAGAGGUAGAGACAGCAGGUGCGGUAGAGAGAGAGACAGUCGAAGACAGCAGGUGCGGUAGAGAGAGCGACGUAGCAUGUCCGGUGAACACACAAAUAAUGUUGAAGACCCCUGCAAAUGAAUAUCAACACUUAACUGUAUAUUUAGUUUUGGAGACAUUUUUCUGCCUUCUGUGAGUUUUUAAGAAAUAUUUCCUUGUAUCUUGUAAUUCUGUUACCACAACCACAAUAUUGUCUAAAUUUCUCUCACUCAUGAGGAGGAGGAUCAUGACAGUUCACAACAACAAGUAAAGGUAGACCUACCAAUUAGUUAUAGUUAUUUUACUGAUAUACAUGUUGUUUAUGAAUUAUCAAGUGAUUGAAACUUGAAAUUCCGUUACCAAAUCGGUAAUGGAAUUUUCCCCAAACAUUUGUAACGGAAUUUCUGCAAUUGAAUUUUCUACAAUGGGCAAUCAUAGUAGUAACAAACCACAUUUGGGUUCACAAGUUUGGACAGUAGAGUAUAGUACAGUAGAGUAUAGUACAGUAGAGUAUAGUCUAGUACAGUAGAGUAUAGUAUAGUACAUCACAGUAUAGUAUAGUAUAGUACAUUACAGUAUA